UCUACCCGGCGGCGGGGGAUAACUCAGGGAAACCUGAGCCAAUACCGCAUACAGCACUGGCUUGGAAGCUGGAUGUGAAAGCUGGCCUCUCGAAGAAGCUGGCACCGUCGGAUGAGCUCGCGGCCUAUCAGCUAGUUGGUGGGGUAACGGCCUACCAAGGCGAUGACGGGUAGCUGGCGUGAGAGCGUGGCCAGCCACACUGGGACUGAGACACGGCCCAG
rnacentral:rRNA from 1 species